UAAAAUAUUAUUAAUUGGGUAGUAAAGAAAGCUCCGAAACCUAAAGAAUUUGGCGGUGUUUUAAAUAAUUGGAGGAAUCUGUUAAUUAAUUGAUACACCACAACAAAUCUCUCCUUGUUCUUGUUUGUAUAUCGUCAUUUCCAGACAAUAUUUAAAAAUUAUAGUCAAAACUAAAAAAUCUUCAUAAAUUAGAUCAAGGUGCAGCAUAACAAGGUUCUAAUGGAUUACAAUAUUCAUAAAAUAUUACAAAUAAGAAAAAUAAAUUUUUCUUUGAAGGCGGAUUCAAAAGUAAAUUUAAAUUAAAAUGUUUUUUUGAAUAAUAAUUUAAAACAUGC
rnacentral:rRNA from 1 species